rnacentral:rRNA from 1 species
AUUGAACGCUGGCGGCAGGCUUAACACAUGCAAGUCGAACGGUAACAUAAAGGAGCUUGCUUCUUUGAUGACGAGUGGCGGACGGGUGAGUAAUGCUUGGGAAUCUAGCUUAUGGAGGGGGGUAACUACGGGAAACUGUAGCUAAUACCGCGUAGAAUCGGGAGAUGAAAGUGUGGGACCUUCGGGCCACAUGCCAUAGGAUGAGCCCAAGUGGGAUUAGGUAGUUGGUGAGGUAAAGGCUCACCAAGCCGACGAUCUCUAGCUGGUCUGAGAGGAUGACCAGCCACACUGGGACUGAGACACGGCCCAGACUCCUACGGGAGGCAGCAGUGGGGAAUAUUGCGCAAUGGGGGCAACCCUGACGCAGCCAUGCCGCGUGAAUGAAGAAGGCCUUCGGGUUGUAAAGUUCUUUCGGUAGCGAGGAAGGCAUUUAGUUUAAUAGACUAGGUGAUUGACGUUAACUACAGAAGAAGCACCGGCUAACUCCGUG